AUACGAAUGGGGCAAGCGUUGUUCGGAAUCACUGGGCUUAAAGCGUGCGCAGGCGGAUGUAAAAGUCAGGAGUGAAAUCCCAGGGCUCAACCCUGGAACUGCUUCUGAAACUCUACAUCUAGAAUACCGGAGAGGUUAGCAGAAUUCCAAGUGUAGAGGUGAAAUUCGCAGAUAUUUGGAGGAAUACCAGUCGCGUAGGCGGCUAACUGGACGGUUAUUGACGCUCAGGCACGAAAGCGUGGGGAGCAAACAGGAUUAGAAACCCUAGUAGUCC
rnacentral:rRNA from 1 species